UACAGAGGUCCCGAGCGUUGUUCGGAUUCAUUGGGCGUAAAGGGUGCGUAGGCGGUUUCCUAAGUUUGAUGUGAAACCCGGGCUUAACCCUGGAAUUGCAUUGAAUACUGGGAGACUAGAGUACUGGAGAGGAAACUGGAAUUUACGGUGUAGCAGUGAAAUGCGUAGAGAUCGUAAGGAAGACCAGUGGCGAAGGCGAGUUUCUGGACAGUUACUGACGCUGAGGCACGAAGGCCAGGGAGCAAACGGG
rnacentral:rRNA from 1 species